rnacentral:rRNA from 1 species
UACGGAGGGUGCAAGCGUUACCCGGAAUCACUGGGCGUAAAGGGCAUGUAGGCGGUUAUUUAAGUCUGGAUUUAAAGACCGAGGCUCAACCUCGGGAAUGGUCUGGAUACUGGAUGACUGGACGACUGGAGGGGAGAGUGGAAUUCUCGGUGUAGCGGUGGAAUGCGUAGAUACCGAGAGGAACACCAGUGGCGAAGGCGGCUCUCUGGACAGUGCGUGACGCUGAGGUGCGAAAGUGUGGGGAGCAAACCGG